rnacentral:lncRNA from 10 species
AGAAAGCUCCUUUCAUUGGUGUGUUCAGAGAGCCCUUGAUUAUGAAGACUCAGUACCCUGCUUGGAAAACAAUCUGAAUGAAUGUGUUUCAGUGUGGGAGAUGGGGAAGUCACGCAGGGACAGUCUGGGAAGGCAGGAGGGAGGCUGGUAUUUACCUUCCUGCCCUCUGGAAGGGUGGUGGCCUUGCAGAUCCCAGUCCCAGCCUUUCUUUCGCUCAGUUUCCCUGGGUGGAAACUGGGCUUGUGAAAAUGAUGGUGGUAAGGUCUCCGCGCGUCCCUGGUAACACCUAACCAGGAGCCUCUCUCUGCUGGAGGCUUCAUGAGAGCAACUUCUCCCUUCAUCCUGCCAGCUGAGGUGAUGACAGCAAACCACCACCGCCACAAGCCUCAUGCCAUCCCAGCCUGGAAUUCUCUCCCCGGCGCAGACGGUGCCCCUGCAGAGAUGAGGCCAUGAGGCCCUCGGAUCUACUUCCCCAUCCCAUUGUUUGUUCUUCCACUUUGCUAUACAAAGACAAACUUCUGACCAGGUGCGGUGGUUCACGCCUGUAAUCCCAGCACUUUGGGCGGCCGAGGUGGGCAGAUCACGUGAGGUCAAGAGUUCGAGACCAGCCUGAACAACAUGGCUGGCUCUUGACUCAGAUGUGUUGCUGCCAAGGGAGAGCCUGAAAGACCGAAGCGAAGGCAGAAUGACAAGAAACCGUGGAGUCUGCAGCAACCACUUCAAACAGGAGACAGGCUCAUGGCCGAGGCUCCCUUCCUUAUCCAUGUAUCCAUGUUAGAAUUAGAAUUCAGAUGCUGUUAGAAUUCUCAAGAAGGUGUAUAAUAAGUUAUCUUGGGCUGGACACUGUGGUUCAUGCCUGAAAUCCCAACACUUUGGGAGGCUGAGGCAAGAGGAUCACUUGAACCCAGGAGUUUGGGACCAGCCUGGGCAACAUAGUGAGACCCUGUCUCCACAAAAAAUGCAAAAGUAGUCAAGCAUGGUGGUGCACACCUGUAGUCCCAGCUACUCGGGAGGCUGAGGUGGGAGAAUUGCUUGAGCCUAAGAGAUAGAGGUUGCAGUGAGCUGAGACGAAGCCACUGCACUCAACCUGGGCGACAGAGGAGACCUUGCCUCAAAUAAUAAUAAAGUUAUUUUGAAUUGAAAAUAAAGUUAGACUCUUG